UACGAAGGGGGCUAGCGUUGCUCGGAAUGACUGGGCGUAAAGGGCGCGUAGGCGGAUGGCACAGUCAGAUGUGAAAUUCCCGGGCUUAACCUGGGGGCUGCAUUUGAUACGUGUGAUCUAGAGUGAGGAAGAGGGUCGUGGAAUUCCCAGUGUAGAGGUGAAAUUCGUAGAUAUUGGGAAGAACACCGGUGGCGAAGGCGGCGACCUGGUCCGAUACUGACGCUGGAGGCGCGAAAGCGUGGGGAGCAAACAGG
rnacentral:rRNA from 1 species